rnacentral:rRNA from 1 species
AGCGAACGCUGGCGGCAGGCCUAACACAUGCAAGUCGAACGAACUCUUCGGAGUUAGUGGCGGACGGGUGAGUAACACGUGGGAACGUGCCUUUAGGUUCGGAAUAACUCAGGGAAACUUGUGCUAAUACCGAAUGUGCCCUUCGGGGGAAAGAUUUAUUGCCUUUAGAGCGGCCCGCGUCUGAUUAGCUAGUUGGUGAGGUAAAGGCUCACCAAGGCGACGAUCAGUAGCUGGUCUGAGAGGAUGAUCAGCCACAUUGGGACUGAGACACGGCCCAAACUCCUACGGGAGGCAGCAGUGGGGAAUCUUGCGCAAUGGGCGAAAGCCUGACGCAGCCAUGCCGCGUGAAUGAUGAAGGUCUUAGGAUUGUAAAAUUCUUUCACCGGGGACGAUAAUGACGGUACCCGGAGAAGAAGCCCCGGCUAACUUCGUG